UCUCUGUUGGUGAACCAGCGGAGGGAUCAUU
rnacentral:rRNA from 1 species